ncrna:unclassified sequences SAM-I/IV variant riboswitch
AUCGAACAUCAAGAGUGAGAUUAAGUUCUCCUCCAACCUGCCAACUCCGGCAAGGUGGAAUAAAGAUGUGGUUAAUCAACAAAUAUAGGAGUAAAC